rnacentral:rRNA from 1 species
UGCGUAGGCGGCUGAAUAAGUCAGCGGUGAAAGACUUCGGCUUAACCGGAGCAGUGCCGUUGAUACUGUUUAGCUUGAGUGUUGGAGGGGUACAUGGAAUUGAUGGUGUAGCGGUGAAAUGCAUAGAUACCAUCAGGAACACCGAUAGCGAAGGCAUUGUACUGGCCAACAACUGACGCUGAGGCACGAAAGUGUGGGGAUCGAACA